UACGUAGGGUGCAAGCGUUGUCCGGAAUUAUUGGGCGUAAAGAGCUCGUAGGCGGUCUGUCGCGUCUGCUGUGAAAACUCGGGGCUUAACCCCGGGCCUGCAGUGGGUACGGGCAGACUAGAGUGCGGUAGGGGAGACUGGAAUUCCGGGUGUAGUGGUGAAAUGCGUAGAGAUCCGGAGGAACACCAGUGGCGAAGGCGACACGCUGGGCCGUACCUGACACUGAUGCGCGACAGCAUGGGGAGCAAACAGG
rnacentral:rRNA from 1 species